GGUCAUUGAAGUUUCAAAAGCUAGACCCUGGCCAGGGUCUUUCUCUUCCUGCCGCGCUCCCUCAGAACUGGCUGAAGAACACUAGCUACUUCUCCAGCUGCGUGCCGCCAUGUUCCCUGUCAUGGGGAUAAAGGGACUAAAUCCCUCUGAAACGGUUCAUCUAUGAAGCAGCUGGCUCCAGAACCUUCUGCCUGCCUAAGGCCGAAUAAUGCUCUGCUUCUGAGUAUGCUGACUUGGGUUGUCUGUUUACCUCACUGCUGGCUGCUGGCUGCUGUCCCCCUGGGAGCUCCCUGCUUGGCUGCUGUGGCUAAUGCUGCCAGGAGGAGCAGCGCUGUUUUCUGUGGACCCUUGUCUAGUUGUGGCGGUUGCUGGGAAAGAUGAAGUCCCCAGACUGGAGCUCAGGCUGCAAAGAGGCUGGCAUGAAGCGAGAUGCCCCUUCUAGGCCAAGGCAAGAUCUGCUGCCCUCUGACUUCUACCUGUUGCUGAGAUGACUUCUGUCGCCAAGGCACCUGGAUACCGAGCCACUCCUUGACAAAAGCCCUCUCCAGCCUGCGUGGACCUCGCGUGAGAGAAGUCUAGGUGGCUGUGGGCAGCCCACAGGCUUCCGUUGCCGCUGCGUUACAGCUUGUCGUCUUAAUCUUGAAAUGAGACCUGGUUCACUUGAUCUCAUUAAUAAAAGGUCUGUGCUCCCCCUAGUCAUAAAAACACGCCACCCUCCUGUUCACUGUCCUCUGAAGGAGCUGUUUUAUUUCAGUGUUUUUAAGGUGGUACUGGAUCCAUAGGCUCACACGGCCCCUACUUUCUUGGUGCUAUCUGAUGAUGUACCUUAAGCCCCCAGAGAAGUCGCUAGGUACCAGCAUUAUGGACUUUGAUGGAGACGUCACCUUAGAUGCUUAUCAGCCUGUAAAGUAAAAUUCCAAUUUUCCUA
rnacentral:lncRNA from 1 species